GGUUAUGACCCCACCCCGAGGGGGGCGCCACUGGGAUUAUAUACCCCGCGGAGGGAUACAGAGAAGCGAUACGGCAGAACGGGGUUACAUGGCCUAACGGGGUUACAUGGCCUGCAGAGGAAUAGGGGGGCAGGAGGUGCCCCCACCCCGGGCUAUACGCCCCACGGACGGAUACGGGGGGGGGCAUCAGGUCUGGGGCUAUACGGCCCACAAAGAAAUAGAGGAGGGAUGGGAGGUGUCAUCCCGGGAGCUAUAUGGACCAUGGAGGGAUACAAAGGUGUGUGAGGAGUCACCCCCGGGGCCAUAUGGCCAACAGAGAUACAGGGCUACGGGUUACCUCCGGGGCCAUACGGCCCGCGGAGGGAUACAGGAGGGAGGUGAGGAGUCACCCCAGGGCCAUACGGCCCACACAGAGAUACAGGGGUAGGGGUUACUCCCGGGGCCAUACGGCCUGCGGCGGGAUACAGGAUGGAGAUGAGGUGUCACCCCCGGGGCUAUACGGCCUGCGGCGGGAUACAGGAUGGAGAUGAGGUGUCACCCCCGGGGCCAUACGGCCCACACAAGGAUACGGGGGGGGGGGGUUACCCCCGGGGCUAUACAGCCUGCGGAGGGAUACAGGAUGGAGGUGAGGUGUCACCCCUGGGGCUAUACAGCCUGCGGAGGGAUACGGGGGGGGUGAGGUGUCGCCCCAAGGGACUUUAGGGCCUGCGGAGGGAUAUGGGAUGGACCUGUCACCCCCGGGCUAUAAGGCCCAUGCAAGGAUGGGCAGAGGAGUGUGAGGCCUCGCCGCAGGGGCCCUAGGGCCCGCGGAGGGAUACAGGGCGGCGCGAGGCCUCGCCGCAGGGGCCCUAGGGCCCGCGGAGGGAUACUUCGCGAGGUUAUGAAGCUGUAGGGACUACAUGCCCUGCGCGGGUCACCGGGCUGCGGAAGAGGCCGCAGACCGACAUGCCCGGCGGAAGAAUAACCCCUAGGGGAAGGGAAGGCCGAAGUAGCGACCCGCGGAGGGAUACCGGCCUGGGUAACUCGUCCCAACCGCCCGCCCCUCGGAGGGAUACCAGGAGUGUGAGGCGUCACCCGGCACUAUCUACCCCGCCCCGCGGAGCGAUACCUGAGCGCUGGUGCUGAGAGCAGAAGCCGGGGCUGUCUCCCCGGUAACGGCGGAGGGAUACCGGGCGGCUCACUGGGGCUGAGGCAGCCAUGGACCCGGUGCCGGCAAUGGAGGUUGGGGCCGAAAUUGAAGUGAUUGAAGACGGCGUGUUGGAGGAGCUGCCGCUGCGGCUGGUACGUCCCGGCGCUCGUGUCUGAGCAGCGGUGCACCGGCUCGGACGGGAGAUGCAGCCAUCUCUGGGGUGGGGCAGAGGCUGGUUAUUCAGGACACCUCCCCCAGCCCUGAGACGCGUCUGCCUCUGGGGGGCAGGGAGCUGCUUAACAGUUUGAGACAGGAAGUGCAUGAACCUCACAUACAUGACUGUCAUUUCAGGGUAGUUUUGGUCUGGACUCCGAACUUUACUCCACUUCCUGUUCAUUUUGGGGGUACUCCAUAGAGAACUUGAUGUACUGCAGGGGGCGAGAUGGGGGGCUCUCGCCCGGCAUUCAGGACUGGCCCCCGGCAGCAACAGGGGGGCUGUGAUGCAGGAGGUGGGGGACCCCCAGUCAGGGCUGGCCCCGAUUCCCCAGCAUGGCGGUAGGGGGUGCUGUAUCACAGGGAGUGGCGUGGGGGUACUCUCCCCCCCCACUUACCCCCAUUUCAUCCC